GGCAACCCGCUCGGGUCCCCUUCCACACUGUGGAAGCUUUGUUUUUUCGCUCCUUGCAAUAAAUUUUGCUGCUGCUCACCCUUUGGGUCCACACUGCGUUUAUGAGCUGUAACACUCACUGGGAAGGUCUGCAGCUUUACUCCUGAGGCCAGCGAGACCACGAACCCACUGGAAGGAAGAAACUGAACACAUCCGAACAUCAGAAGGAACAAACUGCGGACACGCGGCCUUUAAGAACUGUUAACACUCACCGCGAGGGUCCGCGGCUUCAUUCUUGAAGUCAGUGAGACCAAGAACCCACCAAUUCCAGACACACUAGCAGGGAGAAGCAGGCCCUAAGCCCAGUAAGCACACAGGUAAACAGGUUUAUAAGCCAGUAGUCACCCCAAGUUUGAACUGGAUUUUCUGCCACUGGCUCCUGGAGCCUGAGACCAUCAGCAUUGUUGGAAAUCUCUAGAAACACGCUACUCCCCGCAAUGCAUCUGUUCCCUGCGUCUCUGCAGCCUCACCAGCUCUGGGUAUUAUCAUCAAGCAGCAUUAAAGCCUAGAAUAUGAAAUUCAGGGGGAAACAACUGAUCCAAGGCGGGAGAGAACCAAAACCGGCCUCGCCUCUCCUCCUUGCGGUGAAUAGCCUUACACCUAUGUCAUCGAGUUAGUACAAAGUGGAGCAUGCACACGAUAAAUCUAUCAAGGGAGAAAACGAGAUACGGAACAGUCCAUAGGACAUACUCGGUUUUGUACAAGAAAGAGAGAAAAUAAGAAUAUGUUUUCAUAUUUGUUAUACUUCAACAAAGAUACUCUGGAUGGACAGAUGGAAAGCUGGAGCCAACAGGGAGCUGGAGAGAGGGUGGGGAUAGCACUCAAGAGUGCAGACACCCGCCCAGCUGUGUGCACAUGCAUGCAGCUGCCAGCAGCAACCAGAGCCACCCCUGGCAUCCUGUGUCAAGCCCACGGUGUUCUGGAGUAGUGAUGAAGGGCCUCUCCCUCAAACUGGACACCUUAAAUUCUGCUUCCUGCCACCAAGGGAAGACUCCAGAGGGGCCUGCCCCGGUUGAGGGACUGCCCAGUGACAGCCAUUUGGCUCCCUUCCUAUACUCAUAUAGACACAGCCUGGCCCAGGCGGUGACUGCUUCCUACCUGCACAGACACCACCUGACCCACACACGAGAGACCAGCAGAGCAGCCCACACCAUUGUCCCCAGAUCUUGGCACCCUGAAGAAGCUGAGCUGAGCACACACAAUUAAAAUCUCCCCUCUGCAGCCAGAGGAAGAACCUGGGCUUUGGGGAGGGCACCAGGAGCGGGCAGCUGGGGGCAGGGCCAUGCUCCCUUUUUGUCUCUAGCUGCCUUUUGUUCGAAGAUAAACAUGCCUCGGCCUCCUUCCCCUACCUGAAAGCCGCUUCUGCCGGCGAGAGAAAUCGUACACAAUCUCUGCUCUGGAUGUACAAAAAGUCUGAAAUUGCUUGGAGACCAGGCGGGAGGGAGCGGGGUGAGGCUGGGGGAUCAGGGCGGGUAAUUGCGGGUCAUCCAUCUGCCUUGUCGGAGGCACCAGCCCCGCAGCAUUUGCAGAGAGGACUCCGUGAAUUUGCUUUUUCCCCACAUCUUGCAUUACUUACUCUUUCCUCAGCAGCCAUAAAACCUUUUCCUAAAACUGCCCUCAAGCAUAAUAAACAGGAGACAUUCGGAACUGGUGAGAAAGACAACCCCAAAAUGAUGCACUUGAAGCCGAAUCUGCUUUGGGGGACUGGGAGGUUUCCACCGGACCCCAGCACUGCCGAGGACACCAGGGCUGCAGCAUGGUGGGGGGUCUCAGUCUCUCCCUCCUUCACCCUGCUCAGAGGAGUGACCCUGGAAGGCCGCCUCUGAAUGGGCCUUAGGGCUUAGAAGCUACCAGAACCCGCUCAGCCCACCUGCAUUCCUCCAGGUAGCCCACCAGUGACCCUUGAGUUGGGUUCCGCCUGGCCUAGAGCCAGUUCUCUCCCUGACUUGAAGUGAGCGGUGGAGAACAGGGGGCUGGGGUGAUGGGUAAUGUGACAUUGGAAUGACCUGCCCAGCACCCAGGCAGGAUGCAGGACCAAAGACUUCCCCAACCCACAGCCCCACAGGGGCUAACAAGACCAGAGCUUCGUGCUCCUUGUUGGGAGGAGCCGGACUUGCUGAGAAGCAGGGGGCUCAGCUCUGGAACCUUUUGCCUGGGGAAUACGGGCCACCGUGAGACCUUACCGCAGUCUUGUCACCUCACCGGGUCUUGGCUUCCCCAUUGAACAGUGUGAGCGGCACCGUGACAACAAUGGCAGGAAAUGUGUGUUGCUCACGUGGAACAUGCCAGGCCCGGCCCAAGCACUUGAUGUGGAGGCUGUCAUCUCGCGGCCCAGGUCGGCUGCAGGGUCAGGCUGUGCCAUGGCCGGGUGCGGUGGGGGGGGCUGUUUGUAAAUAACAACCUUUAUUUACAGUCUAUAAAGGCUCCAUUAAAGCC